rnacentral:rRNA from 1 species
UACGGAGGAGGCAAGCGUUAUCCGGAAUUAUUGGGCGUAAAGCGUCCGUAGGUGGCUAUUCAAGUCUGCUGUUAAAGCGCAGGGCUUAACCCUGUAAAGGCGGUGGAAACUGGAGAGCUAGAGUGUGGUAGGGGUAGAGGGAAUUCCCGGUGUAGCGGUGAAAUGCGUAGAGAUCGGGAAGAACACCAGUGGCGAAAGCGCUCUACUGGGCCACAACUGACACUGAUGGACGAAAGCUAGGGGAGCGAAUGGG